rnacentral:lncRNA from 1 species
GAUAUUUUUCAAUCUGCUCACUUUCAACUUUUCACAUUGUUGCUUUGUUUUCAACUUUUUCACCUUGUUGCUUGACUUUCAACUUCUUCACUUUGUUGCUUGACUUUUCAUUUCUUCACCCUAUUCUCCAGGCGGGUUCCUGACUUGCUAUUUCAUUAACUUGUUGCCAUGCUUUCAACUUCUUCACCCUGUUCUGCAGGCGGGCUCCUGACUUGCUAUUUUUCAAUCUAUUUAACUUUCAAUUUUUUCACCUUGUUGCUUGGUUUUCCAUUUAUUCGCCCU